UAGGGAAUCUUCGGCAAUGGGGGGAACCCUGACCGAGCAACGCCGCGUGAGUGAAGAAGGUUUUCGGAUCGUAAAGCUCUGUUGUUAAGGAAGAACGAGUGUGAGAAUGGAAAGUUCAUACUGUGACGGUACUUAAUCAGAAAGGGACGGCUAACUACGUGCCAGCAGCCGCGGUAAUACGUAGGUCCCGAGCGUUGUCCGGAUUUAUUGGGCGUAAAGCGAGCGCAGGCGGUUAGAUAAGUCUGAAGUUAAAGGCAGUGGCUCAACCAUUGUAGGCUUUGGAAACUGUUUAACUAGAGUGCAGAAGGGGAGAGUGGAAUUCCAUGUGUAGCGGUGAAAUGCGUAGAUAUAUGGAGGAACACCGGUGGCGAAAACGGCUCUCUGGUCUGUAACUGACGAUGAGGCUCGAAAGCGUGGGGAGCGAACAGG
rnacentral:rRNA from 1 species